UACGAAGGGGGCUAGCGUUGCUCGGAAUUACUGGGCGUAAAGCGCACGUAGGCGGCUCUUUAAGUCGGGGGUGAAAUCCUGGAGCUCAACUCCAGAACUGCCUUCGAUACUGAAGAGCUCGAGUCCGGGAGAGGUGAGUGGAGCUGCGAGUGUAGAGGUGAAAUUCGUAGAUAUUCGCAAGAACACCAGUGGCGAAGGCGGCUCACUGGCCCGGUACUGACGCUGAGGUGCGAAAGCGUGGGGAGCAAACAGG
rnacentral:rRNA from 1 species